UGCCUCUAUCAUCAUCUUCC
rnacentral:siRNA from 1 species